rnacentral:rRNA from 1 species
GAUGAAUGCUGGCGGCAUGCUUAACACAUGCAAGUCGAACGGGAAGUGGUGUUUCCAGUGGCGAACGGGUGAGUAACGCGUAAGAACCUGCCCUUGGGAGGGGAACAACAACUGGAAACGGUUGCUAAUACCCCGUAGGCUGAGGAGCAAAAGGAGAAAUCCGCCCAAGGAGGGGCUCGCGUCUGAUUAGCUAGUUGGUGAGGUAAUAGCUUACCAAGGCGAUGAUCAGUAGCUGGUCCGAGAGGAUGAUCAGCCACACUGGGACUGAGACACGGCCCAGACUCCUACGGGAGGCAGCAGUGGGGAAUUUUCCGCAAUGGGCGAAAGCCUGACGGAGCAAUGCCGCGUGGAGGUGGAAGGCCUACGGGUCGUCAACUUCUUUUCUCGGAGAAGAAACAAUGACGGUAUCUGAGGAAUAAGCAUCGGCUAACUCUGUG